CCUUUCUCCUAAGCAUCAAAAAGCAAUUUUCACACAUUUGUAAAUGAGGACUCAGAAUGCACCAGUGAGGUAUUCCCUUUAUGUAUAAGGAAGGCCAGUAAUACCACGUUUAGAUAUAAUAAAUCAACUGUCGAGCAUUCUCCUAUCGACUCCGGUACUGCAGCAGGGCGAGAGGCACAGGUGGAGUCGACGGGAGAGCAUCAGCC